AAUGAACGUUGGCGGCGUGGAUUAGGCAUGCAAGUCGUGCGGAAAGGCUCCUUCGGGAGUACUCGAGCGGCGUAAGGGAGAGUAACGCGUGGAUAUCUACCCCCUGGACUGGGAUAGAGGCGGGAAACUGCCGGUAAUACCAGAUAAUGUCUGCGGACCAAAGGUGUGAUUCCGCCGGGGGAUGAUGUCGCGUCCUAUUAGCUAGUUGGUAGGGUAAUGGCCUACCAAGGCAAAGAUGGGUACCGGGUGUGAGAGCAUGGCCCGGCUCACUGGGGCUGAGACACUGCCCAGACACCUACGGGUGGCUGCAGUCGAGAAUCUUCGGCAAUGGGCGCAAGCCUGACCGAGCGACGCCGCGUGCGGGAUGAAGGCCUUCGGGUUGUAAACCGCUGUCAGAGGGGAGGAAAUGCGUGAGAGUUCUCUCUCACGUUUGACCUAUCCUCAGAGGAAGUACGGGCUAAGUUCGUGCCAGCCGCCGCGGUAAGAC
rnacentral:rRNA from 1 species